rnacentral:rRNA from 1 species
UUUGAUCCUGGCUCAGGAUGAACGCUGGCGGCGUGCGUAACACAUGCAAGUCGAACGAAGAUAUUUAAAAUGUGAGCUUCGGCAGGAUUUUUAUCUAUCUUAGUGGCGGACGGGUGAGUAACGUGUGGGCAACCUGCCCUGUACUGGGGAAUAAUCAUUGGAAACGAUGACUAAUACCGCAUGUGGUCCUCGGAAGGCAUCUUCUGAGGAAGAAAGGAUUUAUUCGGUACAGGAUGGGCCCGCAUCUGAUUAGCUAGUUGGUGGGAUAACAGCCCACCAAGGCGACGAUCAGUAGCCGACCUGAGAGGGUGAUCGGCCACAUUGGGACUGAGACACGGCCCAAACUCCUACGGGAGGCAGCAGUGGGGAAUAUUGCACAAUGGGCGAAAGCCUGAUGCAGCAACGCCGCGUGAAGGAUGAAGGGUUUCGGCUCGUAAACUUCUAUCAAUAGGGAAGAAAGAAAUGACGGUACCUAAAUAAGAAGCCCCGGCUAACUACGUGCCAGCAGCCGCGGUAAUACGUAGGGGGCAAGCGUUAUCCGGAAUUACUGGGUGUAAAGGGAGCGUAGGCGGCAUGGUAAGCCAGAUGUGAAAGCCUUGGGCUUAACCCGAGGAUUGCAUUUGGAACUAUCAAGCUAGAGUACAGGAGAGGAAAGCGGAAUUCCUAGUGUAGCGGUGAAAUGCGUAGAUAUUAGGAAGAACAUCCAGUGGCGAAGGSCGGCUUUCUGGACUGAAACUGACGCUGAGGCUCGAAAGCGUGGGGGAGCAAACAGGAUUAGAUACCCUGGUAGUCCACGCCGUAAACGAUGAGUGCUAGGUGUCGGGGAGGAAUCCUCGGUGCCGCAGCUAACGCAAUAAGCACUCCACCUGGGGAGUACGACCGCAAGGUUGAAACUCAAAGGAAUUGACGGGGGCCCGCACAAGCGGUGGAGCAUGUGGUUUAAUUCGAAGCAACGCGAAGAACCUUACCAAGGCUUGACAUCCCGAUGACCGCUCUAGAGAUAGAGUUUCUCUUCGGAGCAUCGGUGACAGGUGGUGCAUGGUUGUCGUCAGCUCGUGUCGUGAGAUGUUGGGUUAAGUCCCGCAACGAGCGCAACCCUUAUCUUCAGUAGCCAUCAUUCAGUUGGGCACUCUGGAGAGACUGCCGUGGAUAACACGGAGGAAGGUGGGGAUGACGUCAAAUCAUCAUGCCCCUUAUGUCUUGGGCUACACACGUGCUACAAUGGCUGGUAACAAAGUGACGCAAGACGGUGACGUUAAGCAAAUCACAAAAACCCAGUCCCAGUUCGGAUUGUAGUCUGCAACUCGACUACAUGAAGCUGGAAUCGCUAGUAAUCGCGAAUCAGCAUGUCGCGGUGAAUACGUUCCCGGGCCUUGUACACACCGCCCGUCACACCAUGGGAGUUGGAAGCACCCGAAGUCGGUGACCUAACCGUAAGGAAGGAGCCGCCGAAGGUGAAGCCAGUGACUGGGGUGAAGUCGUAA